rnacentral:lncRNA from 1 species
CUAUGUUUUAAGAUAAUCUAAAACAUUUAAAUAUAUUAAAUAUUUAAAUCUAAAAUAUUUAAAUAUAUAAAUAUAUACACACAAUUUUUAUCAUUCCCCACUUUGACUUUUUCAAUUGUCUGCUAGUCCAACCGUUUAUGUGUUGUGUGUGUGUAUAUCUAGAGAGAGACCAGGAAAUACUUUUUCUGCAAAAAACAAACAAUCACAAAAACAAACCCAGAGCAACAUCCCAGGAUCUGAAGUUCUGUUGGCAUUUUCCCUCCAAACAGAGAAGCUACUUCUAUCGAAGGGGACCCUGACUGGCCUCACAUUUGUGCAGCUGUCAGGCUCAAUGGUCACUAUCACACAGACAACACAGUCGUUUCCAACUACAACAGGUGUUCCUGAUUUUUAGUCUUAAAUUUCAGCAGAGACUGCAGUACGAUCAUGGAAAAAAAAAAAAAAAAAGCUGGACGAGAAGAGGAAAGAUAGUCGAGGGUGCAGAGUGAAUGGUGUGCCCUGGGGGCCUCGCUAGCUGGUCAGGACAUCUGUGCAUUUGUGCCAGAGGGCUUUGCUUGGCAAGCUCAGUAUUACAAAGAUUUACUGAUUCUACUUUCAACUGUGAUCAGUCACUGGAUGACUUAGCUCGUUUGGGUUGGGUAGUGACAGCACAUUGACCAUACACAGUUAUCUUUGCCCAGUGGUAGUUGUAGCUGUUUACAGCAAAAUCAGCAUUGCUAGAGGUCAACCAGAAUGUGCCAACUGGGUGGGCAUUGAUCUAAGGAGAAUAAUACAAGGAAGAUACCCUACCUACUGCUGGAGGUAUAGCCAUUCUGAAGUCUGAGUUUGGAUCCAUGGUGUGGAAAGCAGUUUUGUGAAAGCAUGAUUUAUUUUAGUAGGAGUCUCUGUAACUUGUAAUUAAAGCACAACCUUUAGUAAACAAAUCAAAAGCUUAGUGCCUUAGGUUAUAGAUAAGGCAUGACAUUGCCGAGUGGCAUCUUGACAUCUGUAGAAUUCCACCUGGGGAAGCAGACUAGGUCUUAAAAACUUCAGGAAAGAAAAAGAAAGAAAAGCAAAGAUUUCCUACUUCUACCUACUCUCUGACCUCCUGGGCCCCUCUUCUCUGAGAUGGCCAUUGUCUCAAUCCAGACAUAGUUCCUGCAUACUCAAGUAUUUUUUUUAAUAACAGAGUUGAAAUCACAUUUUAUAUACUGUUCUGCAACUUGCUUUAUGCAUCUUAUUUUCAACCUAUACCAUAGGGUAAAUGUUCUGUUAUUAAGAAAAGAGGAUUUAGCUAGCUAGCUCUUCAAAGACAUGUCUAACCCUCAGAUAGCAGCCCCUUCCCCACCUCUCAGACUAUCUCUUGAUUUCCCACAUUGUCAGCAGCUUUUGAAAAAGUUAUAUCCUUCUGUAUUGUUUUCAUGAUUUGAGAAAGGAAUAUGGGCAUAGUGGAAAAAAUUAUGAAAACAGUACGGAAGGAUAUAACUUUUUCAAAAACUGCUGACAAUGUGGGAAAUCAAGAGAUAGUCUGAGAGGUGGGGAAAAGGCUGAUGUCUGAGGGUCAGAGAUGUCUUUGAAGAGCAGGAAUAGGCCUGCUGUGACAAGCUUUGCCAUCUUCUGUGAAAUUCAGGGGUAACCUCAAUCUCAAUGCAAAUAUGUUUAAUUUUCCAGGGAACAAUCUGUAGAGCAGAGCUUGAAUAAUAUCAGGAAAUAUCCUCCAGCAUUGUCAUUGUCCCUAACAAAUUCUACUGGUUUAUAUCACCUCAACCAAGACAUGAAUUAAGUGGGAGUCAGUGAUUUUUGAAAGGUUUUCUGGUGGAGUGGGAGUCAGGCUAUUAUGAGGACUAUUUAUUUGCUUGGUUAAUAUUUUUCCUCCCAUCCAAGACUGUGCUUACUCUUUGGAGGGAAACUGAAUGAGCUUAAUGGAGUUCUCUAAAGGAAAAGAGCCAACUGGAGCACAGUUCUUAAUGGGUUUCCAGCUUCCAUCAGGAGGGAUAGAGUCUUUGAGUUCCACAAGAAGGGCAAUGGCUUGGGAUCAGACCAUGAACUUGGGUUCAAAUCCAGGGUCUACUGCAGGCUAGCCAUAUGAUCUAUGCAUGACUCAAUCCUUCAAGCCUCUAUUUACACAUGUGUAAGAGGAGGUAUAUUAAUCCCUCCAUUAAGGGGCUAUUGGGAGAAGUCACUAAGAUAAUAUAUGUUCUCAGGGGCCAGGUCCCUAUACAAACUGUGUCAGACACUGUUCUAGAUUUCCAGAGAUUGGAUGCAUGCUAAACAUGUGGUAGGCAGUCAUUAAAGACUUUCUGAGCUGACAAAAAUAGGGAGACUCAAAAAUAAACAAAGCAACAUAUAGUGUUGUCGAAAGGGCUUUGGAACUGUGCUACAAAAUAGCAGCUUGAGCAGCUUUCCAUGUAGGCUCCUCUGGUUUUCUUCCCCAGAAGCAGAAACAGAAGCAGGGAAAAGAAAAAUAAGAUAUUUCUAUUAAAAAAAAAGAUUCAUAAGAGUAAUGUAUGGAAUAUGUACACUGCAGCAUGAUAAGUAAUGAAAAAUUCCAUUGUGAAGCAUCACAGCGUAAACCCUGGCCCUAUUCACUUCCAGGAUGCAGAUAUUUAAGGCAUUAUUGACAUUUGGGGAUAGGUGAUACUUUAUGUUGGGGGACUGUCCCAUGCAUUUUAGUGUGUUUAGUAGCAUUGCUGGCCUCUGCCCACUAAAUGCCAGUACCACCUUACACAAAGUUUUAACAACCAAAAGUAUCUCCAGACAUUGCCAAAUAUCCUAUGAGGAAUAAAAUUGCUUUCAGUUGAGAACCACUGCUCUAAGAACUAUUUGAUCAAAGAACUUAAAAAGAUAGCCUCAAGGAAGAGACUCAGCACUCAGGCUUAGCCCAACAUCAACAUCUCAGUUGCUGGGACACUACUAACUGCAAGUGUUUCUGCCACCCAAACACUCCAUCCAGCUGCAUAUUUGUGCCCAAAGUGGAAGAGAUUUACAAAAACUGGAAAGCUCUGCUUUCACUGAAAUCUCUCAGAGGUAUUGAGAAAUAUCCUUCCUCAUCAUUCUCCCCUCUUGUUAACUCUCCUCUAGCCAAUCUGCCCCUAAGAUACUUUUCAAACAUAAUGCAUUAGCCGUGUCUUUUAUUGUGUACUUUGGAUGCUUUGGCAUCUUGGGGCUUGCUGACCCUGGAGGGACUCCUGUCCAGGGCUAGCCAGUUUCUAGAGAUAGCCAGCAGUUUGCCUGUGAGUGUGCCUUUCAUGGGCAAACCAAGCAAGCCAGAACCCAAAACACCCACCACAUCGGUGCACACCCAGAGCUACUAUUUCCCUACUCUAACCACUCUGGGACCAGAUAGCAGACAAGGAGGAACAGCCUCAUUUCCCCAGAGCCCACCAAAACUAGACUAGCCAGUUCUCCACUGUGUACCCUGCCUUGCCCGUUCCUUCCCACAGAAACCAUAAUAAAGACUCUUGCCUUGCUCCAACAAGAUUCUCCCUUGCUCCAGCAGCCUCUGACCCUCGUGCUUCCCCUGUGCCCCUUCCUCUUGCGGUCUGUGGGUGUAAGAAAUGAUCCUCUCAGUGGCAAUUGUCUCCUGCUCCGUUGGCCCCUCCAUCUGGAAGAUAAUGAAACCUGCCCGUUAGAAGAGGCCAUGUGGUAUGCGCUCAGCCAGGGGCUCUCUCCAGUUCUUCAAGUACACCCAGCCGCUCCCACCAUGGAGCAUUUGCCCAUGCGGUUCCUUCAACCUGAGAUGACCCUCUUUCCUCAGAACCCCUUCCCACAGACCUAGAGAUCUUCUCCACACCCAGGUCUCAUCUCGACAGGAACUUCUGCAGAGACCAUCCCUGAGCCCCCGCUGGGUCAAGCUCCUGAGCCAUUGUUCUCAGCACACUCUACUUUUUCCUCCAUGGCACUUAACACAGCUUGUGUGUGAUUUCCUGGGUGACUGUCUGAUCAAGGUCUCCCCCUUCUCGGUAAAAUUGGAAACACCAAGAGAGCAGAUGCUGUGCCCAUUUUUCCUGACUAAUGCGCCCCCAGAGCACUGCCUGAUACAUGAUGUGUGUUCAAGAUUUGUUGAUAGACUAAAUGGAUGAAUCCCAAUCCUAGAAAGAGAGUCUUCUUUGAACAGAACCUAAACCCCAGCAAGAGAAGGGCAAAAUUGGAAGAGAGUCAGAGAAACAGAUUUCACUACUGUUAACAUGGCUUCAUUUUCCUCAGGCAGCUGGAUCACAACAGACAACAUAAGAUGUCAAAUAAAUUGCAGUAUACAUGUGUGGUGGGAUGUUAUGCAACAAUCAAAAAUCAUCUUUGCAAUCUAAGUGUCUCAUAACAUAUGGCAUUGUCAUCAAAAGAAACCCUAUGUAGUUACUCAAAUUAUACUGCAGAUUUAUAUUUGUUAACCUGUGAAAAUGAUCCUGAUAUAUCAUUCGCAUUAAAAAAAGAGCAGGGGAGUUCCCGUCGUGGCGCAGUGAUUAACGAAUCCAACUAGGAACCGUGAGGUUGUGGGUUCGGUCCCCGCCCUUGCUCAGUGGGUUAACGAUCCGGCGUUGCCAUGAGCUGUGGUGUAGGUCACAGACUCGGCUUGGAUCCUGCGUUGCUGUGGCUCUGGCGCAGGCCGGCGGCUACAGCUCCGAUUAGACCCCUAGCCUGGGAACCUCCAUAUUCCGCGGGAGUGGCCCAAGAAAUAGC